rnacentral:lncRNA from 1 species
ACAUAGGUGGCUAAAUUAUCAAUGCCUUGUUACAGUGGUGGAAAAUACUACUAGUAGUUUUGGGCACUUUCUAUUUUUAUUUUUACAGAAUUAAUUCAAGAAAAAAAUUAGUAUGCUCGUUCCAGAUCUCUAACCCCACGCCUCCAUUCGUCAAUUGCUGAAGAGGAGGCUUCCCCUACUUGGCUUGUGUACAGCUCGCGAGGAUGUUUCGAUGAACUGGUAGAAUUGCAUGUGUACGAAAUGAGGAGGAAUUGCAGUGUACAAAAUGUGUUUCGGCACUUCCGAUCUGAUCUGAACCAAUGGAUGAUCCAUUUUUUUCCAUCGACCGUAAAACAUGUAAUUAGGAAUAUAGAGUGUCACUUUAUUUAUUUUUUUCCUUGCUCACGUGGAAGCUUUUAAGCUUUGAACGCAAAUAUGGAGGCUUCUUUGGUUGGCCAAAUAAACACUAUGUUAAAAUAUCUUGUUUCGAUUGGAAUCUUACAAUUUUUACUUUGAACGCAAAUAUGGUUGGACAUAUAAACACUAGUAUGUUAAUAUAUCUAUCCGAACGCAAAUAUGGAGGCUU